AUACCUUUCUCGGCCUUUUGGCUAAGAUCAAGUGUAGUAUCUGUUCUUAUCAGUUUAAUAUCUGAUAUGUGGGUCAUGUGCCCACAAUGAUAUUAAAUUUAUUUUUUGUGGAGGAGGUUCCACCACACUAGCUUGCUAGUGGGGACUAGCUUGCUAGUGGGGCCUUCAUGUGUCGCCUGGGCGUUGCACUGCUGCCCAGGCCAAGUGCACCCCAA
rfam:Triticum aestivum genome assembly, contig: Triticum_aestivum_CS42_TGACv1_scaffold_486274_6AS